rnacentral:tRNA from 2 species
GACAGAAUAACUCAGUUGGUUAGAGUGUUGGUUUGUCAAGCCAAAGGUCGCAGGUUCAAGUCCUGUUUCUGUCG